AUUCUGCUCAGGGUUGAUUGUUACGUUCGUAUAGUCUUCAAGCAUUAUGCUAAAAAUAUUGUUUGCUUGGAGUGUACAGCAAGGAUGUACUCCACAUGAGCUUGUGGCUUUUUGCGGCACUUUCAAAAACUUUUCUUGUUCAGUUGAGGUUUUCAAGUUUGCAUUGUUUAUUAUGUGGCGUGUCCUGUUGCCUUUUCCUG
rnacentral:lncRNA from 1 species